rnacentral:rRNA from 1 species
GUCCUCGCCUGAUUUAUCAAAAACAUCGCCUCUUGAAAUAAAUAUAAGAGGUCCAGCCUGCCCAGUGACUCUGUUCAACGGCCGCGGUAUUCUAACCGUGCGAAGGUAGCGUAAUCACUUGUUCUUUAAAUAAGGACUAGUAUGAAUGGCAUCACGAGGGUUAUACUGUCUCCUUUUUCUAAUCAGUGAAACUAAUCUUCCCGUGAAGAAGCGGGAAUAUAUUUAUAAGACGAGAAGACCCUAUGGAGCUUUAAAUCAAAGGCAAUUAUUUUUUUACUAAAUAAUCUACUGAUGAAAAAUAAAUUUUAAUAAUAUGACCCUUAGUUUUCGGUUGGGGUGACCACGGAGUAAAAUAUAUCCUCCGCGAUGAUAUAGGAUUAACUCCUAAGUAAAAAAUUACAAUUUAAUACAUCAAUAAAUUGACACUAUUGACCCAAUAUUUUUGAUCAACGAACCAAGUUACCCUAGGGAUAACAGCGCAAUCCUCCUCAAGAGCUCAUAUCGACAGGUGGGUUUACGACCUCGAUGUUGGAUCAGGGUAUCCCAGUGGUGCAGCCGCUACUAAAGGUUCGUUUGUUCAACGAUUAAAACCCUACGUGAUCUGAGUUCAGACCGGACGG